UCCUUCUUAAAACAGGGUUUGGGGCUUAAUUUCAUUUUUGUGACAACCAGAGGGUAGCAUUGACUGACCUUUCAUACCACAAAAGAGAACGCUGCACUGCAUUUCGGGGACUGAGUGUUCCUGAAGGUAGAGAGUCUGCAAGUGACUGGGUAGAUUACUUGUUCUCAGUCUCACCAUUUCCACAUCUCAGAGAGGAAAUUCAAAGGCUAGUCAAUGUCUACAGAAAGGACAAACACACUCUGGAUUCUUAAAAUAAGAUUUUUUAAUAUUACUUAUUAUCAUAAAGAUAUAUUUACACACUUUACAGAAAUAGAAAAUAAAAACACAAAGCUACGCAUGAAAAGGAAAAUAAAAUAAGUACUCCAAGAGCUAAAGCUUAUCUUUUAUAAAUUAGAAACCAAAAGUUCAAAUAUGUACACAGUAUUUCAACCAUUUCUGAUACACUUGUUUUUUUUAAAUGUCAUUAAUUUAUGUCAUUUAUUUUUGCCCAGUUCAACAUCAAAAACAGAGACAGACUGUACUGUACAUUUGGCCUGGCGAGUAACAUGAGCACACACACACACACCUUUAACUUGAUAAAAGAUGAGGACUUAUACACUGUCUGUACGGUACUGUGCUUGUCACCUACUAAUACUGAUGAAAACUGCUGCAUUGCCCGAGUGAGUCCCAGUGGAGCUCUGCUAAGACCCAAGAACAGAACAGGAACAGAAUAGAGUGUCAAUGUUCUAUGAUGCCAGUGCAUAUAGUUUUUUUUUUUUUUAAAUAACACCAGGGCCAAGGUGACACCAAAAGCACUAUUUUCUAAAACACUGAGGUUUUAGCCUGCGCCAUGGCAUGGCGUCUGUUUUAUUUUUUUGUCUGUGUGGCGGGUGGGUGCUACACACUGGCUAUUGUAAGAUGGUGGCCUACGUAAGAAGAGAGCCUUGUCGUCUGAAGUAUGAAGCUCGUUUUGAGUUUGUAAUGACCCGUCACUGCCAGCGCUACUCUAGCGGGAGAUCUAAUCGAGUUAUCCUGUUGGCUGCUCGGCCUGCUGCCUACGUGUGAACGGGGAGCGGGAUUGGAUUUCAGCCACCCGAUCCCUCAGUCAUCACCGCAGAUACGCUAGGUGACAAGCCCAUCAGCAGCAAAGCAACUGUUGCAUGCCAGCCUCCAUUUUCUUUAUGGUUUUUUGUUCACCCAUGUCCUCUACUUGUGGUAUAUUACCCUUGUGGUAUUUCAAAUGAGCGAGCAGUGUAGAGAAUCGGGAUGAUGGUUGGUGAUGGUGGCCCCAAACGGGCACGGUGUAUCUGUGAUUCUGUGUAGAGCUUAGCCAGCAUACCCCAGGUUUACUUUAGCUUCCUAGUCACUUGCCUCUACAGUCUUCUCAACAUCUCCUAUAUCCUGACCUAUCACAUUUUCCAAGCCAAAUGCACAUCUUCUGUGUGUGUGAGAAAGGGUAAAAAAGCUGAAAUGUAUGCCUGAAACAUGCGGAAUACAAGUGCCCAAAGGCCUCUCAAGCCUUGUGAAAUGAACGGACGCGGAGCUCAAGAACAAAGACCAUCCUAAGAGGAAAUGGUUUUACUCUCUGAGUGAAAAGUAUUGGUUUGCCACUUCAGUGUUAGUCUGGGUGGACGCCUUUGUCCUGUUUUGUGUAACCAAGCCCCGUUCAACCUGAUGCAAUCUUACUGUUGGGGAAUAGUCAGAGAGGUCUGAGACGAAUCUAUGACAUUAAUUUUUUUUUCGUGUAGCAGACUAAUUUCUAUACUGUUACGACCACAACAAAAGAAAAGGAAAAUAAAUAAUUAUUGUAAAAAAAAAAAACUAAUACAGCUUUCCCACACUGUAUUUCCAAGUUCAAAGUAAGCUUUGGACAACCAGCUACACAAGAAUCAGUCAAAAAGGAAUAAUUGUCACAAUACACUGGAAAAACAUUACAUGCCAAGGAGACUUGUUUUUCGGGAUUUAUUUUUCCAGCAGCAUAAUGGAAUUGCAAAAAAGUGCAGCCUUGCAUGCCCGUACAGAGAGGACCAAAGCCAGGUGAUUGACGGGAAGGGGAGCCGAGACAGAGGGAGGCUUUGGAUUUCUAUCUUUUUUGAUAGAUGUGACUGAUCAUUCGUCUGUGGAUCUUUUCAGAAUCCGUGUGAUAGAAAGCCAGCAUCACCAGGGUGUAGCUAUGGUGACGGGUAAUGGGGAGAGAGAGAGCGGAGUCAGGGCAGGGGGGGUGGGGUUAGGUUUGUAGACUCAUGGCUCUGGUAAACAGGGGCGCUCGGAGACGGCGGUUUAUUUGACUUUUUCUCCCUGGAAGGGCUGCGCAGCUGGUGCAGACGGUGACAGAUACAUUCAUGAGACGAUGGUGUGGAAUAUAGGCAUCACUCCGCACCACGGUGGACAGGAAAGAGGAAAUGGUGAUUCUUGUUUUCUUUUUUUCUUUUAUUCUUGUUGUGUUUUAACACCCCUGCUUUUGACUGAAAUAAUAAAAAAGAACUCCUCCAGAUGGGACAACUGGGUUAUUCUGGGGGGGAGCUAUGCUGAGACUGACAUGAUUGGGAUUCACAGUGCCCUCAGAUUUGAAUAAAUUUUUAAUCAAGGUGAGCGUAGCUCGGCGGCAUAACCUUGCCUGAUCGUUAAAGAGCGUCUUGCACUCGGUGUGCAAGGCAAUACACAGCUCUCAGUCAGUUUCAGUCCUACUGAGGGUUGAAAAAAGAAAUGUCAGCAAAAUCUGUUUUUGAUCAUAUAGUGUCAAAAAAAAAGAAGAGAAGAGCGGAGCUCUGCCAACUCUGUGGUCAGACUCAGACUAAGCACGUGAAUCAUAGACGGGGUGUUAGGGAGUAACAGUCUUGUGUAAGCCUCAUGACAGGUCUUGGCAUCGGACUGUAGUAAGCAUCAGACGCUUAAAAGGAUUGAGUGAUUGCCAUGGAAAAGAGCAAACUGCACUGACCCUGCUACCAGUACGCAGUUGUGAACAGGGCCGCCCUAGGAUCGUCUGCUGGGGGGGUUUUCCACGUGUGGGGGCUUAUUACGUAAAAUCAGGGGUGGGGGGUCGGGUGUGGUCACGAACUGAGCCAGUCUGCCACACUGGCCUCAGACACUCCUGACUUUGACAGGGGCCCAUCUGAGACAGAUUAUCCCGGGGUUUUAAUGAGCAGAGUGAUCAAAGCUGUGGCCACCUGUGCUUAAGGAGGCUCAAGCUACAAGGCAACAGCUCCCUGCAAGGGGGGGAUAACAUGAACACCUUCAAAGUGGGACUGAUAUGACGGUAGUGGUGUGUGUAAAUAUAUAGGCAGGGAGAUAUAGUUUUAUAUAAUGCAUACAUACAUUUAGAUACAUUUGUGUGUGUGCAUGUGUGUUUAAGUGUAUGUGUACUUGUGUGUGUGUGUGUGUGAGAAAGAGAUUCUUAAAUAAAUGCACAAAGCAUAGACGAUUCUGGUAUAGGCUUGUAUCACAGCACCCUGAGGAAAUUAAAGAAAGACAAAGAAACUAAAUUAAACGAAAGCAACAGAAGAAAUUCCAGUAUGAUGUAAAGGCAUAGUGAUUCUGUCUUAGUGGUUGGGGGGCCAGGGCAACCCAGCUGCGGGUAUAGAGCACUGGUGGUAGGCUUUACGUGGUGUAACUGGGCUAAAGCAAAAUGGCUCCUUUAAAAGCAUACUGUGGUUUUGGUUUUUUUGCUCUAAUUUCUCUCAGACGCCUUUCCAGUCUUUUUAAAUAUGUUGUCUAGAUCUUGGACUUGAGUUGAACAAACAAAUAAACAUAAAAAAACCAUGACAAUAAAAAGCCGUUUGGAUGAGAACUGUCUGUUUGAGCGAGUCAGUGUUUUGAGACUUGAAAUAAGAGGUAAUGUGUUCGUUUUCUGUCUCUCCUGGCAGCAUUGUGGAGUAGAUCGUUAUUUGGCACUUCUUCUGAAGGUGGAGCGGCUCACCCCCAGGGUCUGGAGUGGACCGCCCCGGCCAGUUAACAGUCGAGCAAAAGAGGGCCACGGAACGCAGCGCAUGGGCUUAGGAGGCAAGGACUCGGGGACAUAAGGACACUGUCCCCAGCCGCUGUCCCACGCGAAGAUGGGACAGCUGGACACCCUGGAGGAAGCCACUCUGGAGUCCAGAGGGUUUUUAACAGUGAGCUCAUAAACAUGUAAUCGGUUUUGGAUAGAAGAGGAAUCCUCUAUGUGUAGUUAAGUGAGAUGAUGUGAAGCAGAAUGUUCGAGUGUCGUCUGUAGUAUAUGCACUAUAUUUUUUGGAACAAAGGUAAAAUUGGAAACUCUUUAACCCUCAGUUUACACGGUUUACUUGAUAUUUGAAUAUAGGAGUAAAAUGAGAUAAAAAUAAAAAAUAAAAUAAAAACAAGAAUAAUUAACAGUGGUAACUAAUUCAACCAGCAAUGGUACUUAAAUAAAAAAAACUCAUAUAGUGAUAAAUAUAUUGCAACAGACAGAUGAAAAAAAAAAAAGAUCUGUACAUGCUAUUGACCUGGCUUCUAUGGGAUCUCGGAAAUAAUUUUCAAAAAACAGGAUUACAUCGACAACAUUGGAUAAUGCCAUUACAUUUGGUUCUCUGCCCUGGUUCGCUCUCAUCAAACAACCCCCCCUGUUCUUAAGCCAGAUAUAACCUCAUAGAAGUGGAAUAAAGGAAUGUGGUCACCUUGAAUCAGUCAGAGAGGAUGAGACUAACCACACCUUAAGGAUGAAACUGACGGCUUUCGUUUCUAAGACUGUUUUGGACCUGGCUGCCCUGGGGGGGGGGGGGGGGGGGGACACGUCAUGCAAACUGUGUGCAACACAGCGGGGAGACAUCAAUGACAGGAGGGCUCUAGAAAGCAAAUGAGAGAAAAACACAGAGGGGGGAGAAAGAGAGAGAGAGAGAGAGAGAGAGAGAGGGGGGAUAGAAAGACAGAGAGAGAUGGAAAGUGGGAGAGGACAGAUAGAGUUAUCUGGUAGCUCGGGCUCAACACCCCCCCCACCCCCCACACCCCCUUGAUCCUGGCCCCCGAGGUCUUGGUAGAGCUUGAGGGUGAGUGGCUCGUCCUGGUUUUAUGUGGACAGAAGAAGAGUUGCUUGAAGAACCAGCAGGUGCUAUGGACAUCACUCUUCAGUUUGGGACUAGCGUAGACCCCUCGUAGCAAGGCCCCCCAAGGCAAAGGAAGAGCAUUAAAUCAGAACCUGGGGGAGGGCGCUCGAAGCAGUGCCUGCAAGAAGCCCAAAGAGAGAGGCACCAUGAGGAUACAGCAUA
ensembl:lncRNA